AACAAGGCGCCAAGGUGUCCUAGAACCUAGGUGCAAGGUGCAAGGCGCAAGUGCGUGCCCGAGCGAGACAAGGCAUAAAAAUAAAAAAAUAAAAAAAACUACCAUCAGUGGAACAGAGAAAUCAAUUAAAAGAAGCAGACCAUAACAGCUCAAACUAUCCCAAAAAAAGUAACAAUCAGGACAAGAUUAACCACAAAUUCAAAAAUCCAAAUGCAUAAGGCUCCAAGAGUCGCUAAAUUUAACAGUUAAAAAAGGUCUACAACAACUAAGCUGGGUUGACCACUGGCACGUGAAUCCCUAUUUAAGAUAACAAGCAGAUCAAACAAGUAUUACGCGUAAUUCAAAUAAACCAGAUUAAUAUAUAUAUGUGUGUGUGUGUG
rnacentral:misc_RNA from 1 species